rnacentral:rRNA from 1 species
AUAGCGCGGUGGUCCCACCUGACCCCAUGCCGAACUCAGAAGUGAAAAAAAAAAAAACGCCGUAGCGCCGAUGGUAGUGUGGGGUCUCCCCAUGCGAGAGUAGGAC